UUGAAUGGCCGCAGUAUUUUGACUGUGCAAAGGUAGCAUAAUCAUUAGUUUCUUAAUUGGAAGCUGGUAUGAAAGGUUGAACGAGAAAGUAACUGUCUCUUAUUAAAUUAUUUAGAAUUUUAUUUUUAAGUUAAAAAGCUUAGAUAAGUUUAAAAGACGAGAAGACCCUAUAGAGUUUUAUAAUAAAAUUUUAAGAAAAUUUUAUUGGAUUUAUAUAAUUUUUUUAAUUAAGAUUAUUUAGUUGGGGUGAUUAAAAAAUUUAAUAAACUUUUUUUAAAAAAUAACAUUAAUGAAUGAGUUUUUGAUCCAUUAAUUAUGAUUAUAAGAUUAAAUUACCUUAGGGAUAACAGCGUAAUAUCUUUUAAGAGUUCUAAUCGAUAAAGAAGUUUGCGACCUCGAUGUUGGAUUAAAAUUAAAUUUUGGUGUAGAAGCUAAAUGAUUUAGGUCUGUUCGACCUUUAAAAUUUUACAUGAUCUGAGUUUAAACCGGUGUAAGCCAGGUUGGUUUCUAUCUUUAAAAAUAGAAAAUAUUUUAGUACGAAAGGACCAAGUAUUUAUAAAAUUUAUUUUUUAAUGAAUUUUAUUAAUU
rnacentral:rRNA from 1 species